ensembl:rRNA 5S_rRNA 5S ribosomal RNA
GUCUAUGGUAAUACCAUCCUGAACAUGCUCAAUCUUGUCUGAUUUCAGAAGCUAAGCAGGAUUGGGCUUGGCUAGUACAUGGAUGGGAUAAAAGGCAGAGGAACCAUACACU